GCAUUCUUGAUUUAACUGGUAAAAUGGUAAUCUACGGAAUUGCUUAUAUAGGUUCAAAUCCUAUAGAAUGUG
rnacentral:tRNA from 1 species